UCGUUGUUCCUUUGUUUUCUCCCCAUUUCAAAACCACCGCCGCCGCCACCACAGAUGAUGGAGUCAGAUGUCCAUGAUCUUCAUCAACAACAAGAUAUUAGUGUGAUGGUAUCUCCUCCCAGGCAUGAGUGGUUUGAAUAUUGCUCUCUGCAUUCAAUUUUUCUUGAUCUCUUCUUCUUGUACCCUCGAUUUCCGACUCUCCUUUUUUGUAUCCUCUUUAAUGUCACGUUUCUCUCUAUCGUCGUUCUGUGGUAACUUCCGCUCUUUCGAAGUGACGCUGAUACAGAUGUUAAAAUCAGUGAUUUAUUGACUCGUUUAUCCCGAUUCAAUUGAUUUAUUGACUCGUUUUAGUGGUUCAGCUAUAACUUUACCCUCAGUUCUCUGUUGAUGGAUUCUGUUUAGCGGCACCAGUUGCAGGGUGGGUGUUUGAUAUCCAAUGCAUCAUUGUGACUUCAUCUCAAAAACAAAGGAAGGAUCAUAGUGGAGCUGAUAAAAAGCAGCCAAGUAGAGAGAAGGGCACAGGUGAAAGACCCAAUGCAAUUUGUGAAGGACCUCUAUGAGUUCUCCAUUUGACAGAGAGAGCACAGCCAAUCUAAUUUAUCAUAUUGGCCAUCUAGCCACUCCUCCAGCUGAGAAUGCACAUCCCCAUAUAGAGCGGUGAAUUAGUCUUUCACGAGAUGCUUCUGACUUUCCCGUUAAGUUCAAUUCUAGUACUUCAAGGCUUUACGGUAAGAAUAUCGAACUUUUAUUUCAUCCAUAAUGUACAAGUUCAUAUGCAUUUAAUGAUGAUGCUAUGUUGUUGUUAAGCAAUAAUGAUACUUUUGUUGGAUUCCCAUAGCCUGUUAAGCUGGAUUGGUAAUAAUCCUUAUUGAGUUCUGGUUUAAGGUCUAGUUGUUUGCUUAACAUUAAGAUUACUGGUAUUAACUUCUUGUCA